GGAUUUACACAGAAAGGCUUUUAUUAACGAUCAGUAUGUUGGCAGGAAUAAAUUGAAGCACAUUCUGGGACUUUUCUUCUCCCACAUGACUCUUGUGUGGCAGGGACUUGUCCCAUACAGCAAGUUGGGAAAAUUGUUUGAUCCCAGGCUCGGCGCUGACUACAGACUUGGUUUUCCACCACUUCUGUUGCAUUAGAUCUCAACUGAGACCAGCUGAUGGUCCUCACCAGCUCUGAGCUCACCUUACAGCUCCACUAAACAUAUUCUGUUCUCCAGCUAGUUCCCUACAGCCAGGAAACAUGUGCCUCUGCCAACUCCCUGAGCUUCAACUACCCCUUGUCCUGGCAUGAAGGGGACAGUGCUGGGAGGCAGGACACAAUACGCCCAUGGAUCUCGACGGGAUGAGGACAUUCUCUUCGGGUUGGUGAAAGGUCGCCUUGGUGUUCCCAAUUACUAAUUCUGUUACUAUUUGUGAAGGAUGAAGCGUGCUCUGGCUGUUUUGGUGGCUCAGCAGCACAGUCAGUCUGAGCUAUGCAGAGUCCUGCUGGCUAUAUCACUGUAACACUACAGAGGCACUCCAAGCCUGCAAGUAGCAGAGAGCACUCUUCACUUCAGCAUGCCAUGAAGUUUUUGAAACUGCUUUUUUCCCCUCAAUAUCCCUCUUGCAGCAGGUCCAAAACAUAGGCCUUGGUCACUACAGCGUCCCCACUGGUCCCUCCUUCAGUGUGUGAUCUGAGACAUUUCAUUUAAAGGCAGCUAUCACUCCAGCUUAUGGUCAAAAUUCAAUCACUCAAGACAAACUUCACCCAUUUUACUCUAUAAUAGCCUGGAGAUCAGAGUCAGUAUCAAUUGCCUUAGGAAAAACACACACCUAACUCAUGCAGUAACUGUAUGGCCAAACGACAGUGCAGAGUAACAUCCGAAAGAUGAAACUACUACCGACAACAGCCCGGACUACUCCACCACCAUUGGUGGUGAGUUCUUUCACACCUAUCAGGAUUCACUUCACCUUGUAAUAUUCAGGGAGCACAGAAGCAUGAAAUUUGAUUUCUUUCUUCUGAAGAUGCUGGAGAUUAAUUCUUACUUGGUAUCACUGAAAGAAAGCUCUUGUUCAGUGGUUUAAUAUAAUGUCUUUUAAUAUCUGCUUCAGCAAUAAAAUCUCUGCUUUCUUUUCUAUAAAUGUACUAAUCUUACCAAAGGAUAUAAUUUGAACAGUAGAAUGAAGCAGAAUAAAAAUAUGCAGCUGCACACAAACAAUCUUUUCAAACAAGAACCUGCUCUUAACUAUGUGCAGAGUGUUCAAUCAGAUUAGACCUCAAAAACAAUUUAAAUCCCAGUUCCAACCAUCAAUAUGAAGAGCAGAAAAUGUUUUUUUACCCUUUCCUGGAUCUCUGUGUGUGAACAGAUGCACAGUGGAAAGAAGGAGAAGCAAAAGCAGUAAUAGGAGACAGUAAUAGCAGGAAAGGUGAGAUAUAUCAAACAGGGAACACCAAAUAAAGCAGAAAGUGUAGGAGAACUGUCUUGGCAAACAGUGUGUGUAUCGCUGUCUGCAGGCCCUGACCCUAAAGCUUGUUGCUUGAGAGCCAGAUGUAUAGAGAGAGAAAUGAUUCAGUGGGUUAAAAAA
ensembl:lncRNA